GGAUUAGAUACCCUGGUAGUCCACGCAGUAAACGAUGAUUACUCGUUUUCGGUACGUAGUAUCGGAGACCAAGCGAAAGUGAUAAGUAAUCCACCUGGGGAGUACGUUCGCAAGAAUGAAACUCAAAGGAAUUGACGGGGGCCCGCACAAGCGGUGGAGCAUGUGGUUUAAUUCGAUGAUACGCGAGGAACCUUACCAAGGCUUAAAUGCAUAAUGACAGGGAUGGAAACAUCCUUUUCUUCGGACAGAAUGCAAGGUGCUGCAUGGCUGUCGUCAGCUCGUGCCG
rnacentral:rRNA from 1 species